rnacentral:rRNA from 1 species
AGAUAGCUGGUUAUUCAGGAAAAGGAUAUAAGUCCAACCUUAAAUCUCUUGAUACUCUCAAAUACGACCUAGAUUUAAGUUUCACUCAAAUAGGGUACAGCCUAUUUGAAACAGGGUACAACCUACAACACAGGGUAAUGCCCCCGACAUGUGUGACAAAGUGGGCUUAAUAGCAGCCACCUUUUAAAAAGCGUUACAGCCUUACCACAUUCUUCACUAAUCCGACCCUAAACCCAAAACCCAUCACCCGUACUGAAUGACUCCAUACAAUUAUGGAAGACCUUAUGUUAGAACUAGUAAUAAGAAUAAACAUUCUCCAAAACGUAAGUGUAAGCCGGGUUGAACUACUCACCGGCACUCACCGCCAAUGAACCUAAAGUAACAACAUUACAAGAAAACCUUACUCAUUCAUGCGUUAACCUUACACCAGAGCUUUUUCGGAAAGAUUAUAAGAGUGGGAAGGAACUCGGCAAAUUUUAACCCCGCCUGUUUACCAA